rnacentral:rRNA from 1 species
UGGCUCACCAAGGCGACGAUGCGUAGCCGACCUGAGAGGGUGAUCGGCCACAUUGGGACUGAGACACGGCCAGACUCCUACGGGAGGCAGCAUG